rnacentral:rRNA from 1 species
GAUGAACGCUGGCGGUAUGCUUAACACAUGCAAGUCGAACGGACUCUUCGGAGUUAGUGGCGGACGGGUGUGUAACGCGUGAGAAUCUGGCCUUGGGUUCGGGACAACUACUGGAAACGGAGGCUAAUACCGGAUGUGCCGAGAGGUAAAAGAGAAAUUGCCUGCAGAUGAGUCCGCGUCUGAUUAGCUAGUUGGUGAGGUAAAGGCUCACCAAGGCAGCGAUAAGUAGCUGAUCUGAGAGGAUGACCGGCCACGCUGGGACUGAGACACGGCCCAGAGUACUACGGGAGGAAGCAGUGAGGAAUGAUCCGCAAUGGGCGAGUGCCUGACGAAGCAAUACCGCGUGAGAGAAGAAGGUUCUUGGGUUGUAAACCUCUUUUCGUAGGGAAGAACAAAAUGACGGUACCUAAGGAAUCAGCAACGGCUAACUCCGUG